CCUAAGUUUUAAAUUCCUAAAAUUUCUCGAUUCUUUCUCCCCAUUAUCGCCGAAGCCUUCUCUUCCCCGACAACUCAUCUGCCCAACCCUUCUCCGGUGAUUUCUCACCUCAUCGACGUUGAGCUCGCGAUCGCCGGCCAUCUUCCUUCGCGUGAGGUUAGGGCAAAGAUUCCAUCAGCUGUGUGAGAGCAGUUGUCGUUCUUCCCCUUGUGAUCCUCUGUUCUUUCUCUCACGCGCGCGGACAACUCGACGCUGAUGGCUACCCCAGCGAUCUCGGCCUCGUCGCGGCGCCAGGAGGGAAAGAGUGGUCGGAUCUUGACAGUAUGAGCCACCUCCGGCUAAGCGGUCGUCUUUGGGCUGAUCUAGGGCACGCGAUUGACGGGGUCCGAAUCUAGGGCACAGCGAGGGGCCUUAACUCGCGUUCCUAAUCGAUCGAUGGUUCCUCCUCAUCAACUGGGUUGCUGGAGAGUGGCCGAUUGCUCUACAUCAGCCGGAUUGAAGUGCCGACGCCAUUUGGAAACACCCGAUCAAGAUGAAGCAAUGGAUCAUUGUUCUGUGGACCUCCUCUGUUGUCAAUCACUGUCUUUUCCCAAUUCUUGAAGCUGUGAAGGUUUUGGGUAAGAUGGAGGUUCUGUUGAGUUUCUGGACAGUGGAGUGUAGCACUGUUGAGCUAUUGGAUUUGCUGCCUUCCCUCAAGGACCUUGAUAUGGGAUGAUUAUCACGACGUGGGAUUUAUUCUGGACACGAUCUACGUAUCAAGGCGGGUAUUUCUUCCUUGGCCUCUAUGUAGUUUUCUUGUACUUAGUGCAUGGUUAUUAUUGGAUGAAUUAGGCUACUUUAUCUUAUAUCAUGAUCGGUUGCUGUUUUUCCUGCAUGAUACUUAUGUUUGUCACGUACCUUCGGAGGAGUUGUGUUGAUUGUAUGAUUGAGGUAUAUACACAGGUCUGUUAUGUUUUUACUGGAGGAUACAUGUUGAUUGUGCUUAUAUUUUGUGUACAUGUGUCUGGUAGAAUUAUUGGAGAUUUUUGGUUAAUUAUACAUGUGUAGU